AUAUUGGUCAAUGGGGGCAACCCUGAACCAGCCAUGCCGCGUGCAGGAAGACGGCCCUACGGGUUGUAAACUGCUUUUAUACGGGAAUAAACCUCCGAUCGUGAUCGGAGUUGAAUGUACUGUAAGAAUAAGGAUCGGCUAACUCCGUGCCAGCAGCCGCGGUAAUACGGAGGAUCCGAGCGUUAUCCGGAUUUAUUGGGUUUAAAGGGUGCGUAGGCGGCCUGUUAAGUCAGGGGUGAAAGACGGUGGCUCAACCAUCGCAGUGCCUUUGAUACUGACGGGCUUGAUUACACUUGAGGUAGGCGGAAUGUGACAAGUAGCGGUGAAAUGCAUAGAUAUGUCACAGAACACCGAUUGCGAAGGCAGCUUACUAAGGUGUCAAUGACGCUGAGGCACGAAAGCGUGGGGAUCAAACAGG
rnacentral:rRNA from 1 species